rnacentral:miRNA from 1 species
UUGACAGAAGAUAGAGAGCACAGAUGAUGAAGUGCAUGAAGCCUGCAUCUCACUCGUUUGUGCCCUCUAUUCUUCUGUCAG